GGGGAUGUUACUCAGUGGUAGAGUGUAUGCUUUCCAUGUAUGAGGUCCUGGGUUCAAUUCACAGCAUCUCCA
rfam:Alligator mississippiensis ScZkoYb_180, whole genome shotgun sequence.